rnacentral:lncRNA from 1 species
GGGCAGUUGAAAAGAGCUGGUUUGCAUGCAGUCUUCUCUGUGUGUUUUCUGGUUUGCGGAGUUUGUUGUGGCGCGGGCGGUAGGUUGAAGAAGGUCCUUUCCAUUCCUGUGACUCUGGGAUUUGCCAACAUCCUGAUGAAGUGCACCAUGUUGUUCUUCACUCACCUGGGAAUGGAAGUAGUCAGAACUUUAAGUUUCAGGAGAAAAGUAUAGAGGAGUUAUGGAGGACACCAGUUAAGCUGGUGGGUUUCACAGAUGACACAUCUGGCCUAGUGUCUUGAAGACGAAGCUGUGAAGAUUCAAAGAUUGAGAGGGAAGAUAAAGAAAAACAAAGAGAUAAAAAAAAUGUCACAUCACCAGGACCAGCUACAUAAUUUGGGGGGCCCAGUGUGAAAUGAAAAUGCUUGGCCUCUUGAACAUAAAUUAUUAAGAAUUUCAAAACAGUAACAGCAGAACAAUAAACCAAGAGUGUGUUUGUGUCCUACUCACCUUGAGGCCUUAUGUCGUGGCACAG